rnacentral:sRNA from 1 species
GGAGCGGCCACAGCUGGCGGAAUGCGAGGAGCCGUCCAUCUACAGCCCGGCCUUCCCCAGGGAGAAGUGGCAGCGAAAACGCACGCAGGUCAAGAUCCGGAACGUCACUUCCAACCACCGGGCGAGCGACACGGUGGUGUGCGAGGGCCGCCCCCAGGUGCUAAGCGGGCGCUUCAUGUACGGGCCCCUGGACGUCGUCACGCUCACCGGAGAGAAGGUGGAUGUCUACAUCAUGACGCAGCCGCUGUCGGGCAAGUGGAUCCACUUUGGCACCGAAGUCACCAAUAGCUCGGGCCGCCUCACCUUCCCAGUUCCCCCAGAACGCGCGCUGGGCAUUGGUGUCUACCCCGUGCGCAUGGUGGUCAGGUGAGCGCGGCUGGCCGGGCCUCUGCGGGAGGGCUCCACCAGGCCUCGCCCCGCGCCACUCACGCCCCGCCCCGUGGGCCGCAGGGGCGACCACACCUAUGCCGAAUGCUGCCUGACUGUGGUGGCCCGCGGCACGGAGGCUGUGGUCUUCAGCAUCGACGGCUCCUUCACCGCCAGCGUCUCCAUCAUGGGCAGCGACCCCAAGGUGCGAGCUGGCGCCGUGGACGUGGUCAGGCACUGGCAGGACUCCGGCUACCUGAUCGUGUAUGUCACAGGCCGGCCGGAUAUGCAGAAGCACCGCGUGGUGGCCUGGCUGUCGCAGCACAACUUCCCCCACGGCGUCGUCUCCUUCUGCGACGGCCUCACCCACGACCCACUACGCCA